UACGUAGGGGGCAAGCGUUGUCCGGAUUUAUUGGGCGUAAAGAGCGUGUAGGCGGCUUGGUAGGUCCGCUGUGAAAACUCGAGGCUCAACCUCGAGAUGUCGGCGGAAACCACUUGGCUAGAGUCCGGAAGAGGAGAGUGGAAUUCCUGGUGUAGCGGUGAAAUGCGCAGAUAUCAGGAAGAACACCUAUGGCGAAGGCAGCUCUCUGGGACGGUACUGACGCUGAGACGCGAAAAGCGUGGGGGAGCGAAACAGGG
rnacentral:rRNA from 1 species